rnacentral:rRNA from 1 species
AGAGUUUGAUCAUGGCUCAGGAUGAACGCUAGCUACAGGCUUAACACAUGCAAGUCGAGGGGAAACGAUAUUGGAAGCUUGCUUCCGAUAGGCGUCGACCGGCGCACGGGUGAGUAACGCGUAUCCAACCUGCCCACCACUUGGGGAUAACCUUGCGAAAGUAAGACUAAUACCCAAUGAUAUCUCUAGAAGACAUCUGAAAGAGAUUAAAGAUUUAUCGGUGAUGGAUGGGGAUGCGUCUGAUUAGCUUGUUGGCGGGGUAACGGCCCACCAAGGCAACGAUCAGUAGGGGUUCUGAGAGGAAGGUCCCCCACCAUUGGAACUGAGACACGGUCCAAACUCCUACGAGAGGGAGCA